rnacentral:tRNA from 1 species
GCCUUCGUGGUGUAAUGGCCAGCACACUCGGCCAGUAUUUUGAGAGGUCAGAGGUUCGAGUCCCAGCGAGGGCA